rnacentral:rRNA from 1 species
AUUGAACGCUGGCGGCAGGCCUAACACAUGCAAGUCGAACGAGUGGCGGACGGGUGAGUAAUGUCUGGGAAACUGCCUGAUGGAGGGGGAUAACUACUGGAAACGGUAGCUAAUACCGCAUACCAUCAGAUGUGCCCAGAUGGGAUUCGCUAGUUGGUGGGGUAACGGCUCACCAAGGCGACGCUCCCUAGCUGGUCUGAGAGGCGGACCAGCCACACUUGAACGCAGACACGGUCCAGACGCCUACGGGGGGCAGCAGUGGGGAAUAUUGCACAAUGGGCGAAAGCCUGAUGCAGCCAUGCCGCUUGUAUGAAGAAGGCCUUCGGGGUGGAAAGUACUUUCAGCGGGGAGGCGUUACCCGCAGAAGAAGCACCGGCUAACUCCGUGCCAGCCGCCGCGGUAAUUC